rnacentral:rRNA from 1 species
UACGUAGGGGCAGCAGUGUUCGGUUCGAAUUGUGGCGUAAAGCGCGCGCAGGCGGUCCUUUAAGUCUGAUGUGAAAGCCCACGGCUCAACCGUGGAGGGUCAUUGGAAACUGGGGGACUUGAGUACAGAAGAGAAGAGUGGAAUUCCACGUGUAGCGGUGAAAUGCGUAGAGAUGUGGAGGAACACCAGUGGCGAAGGCGACUCUUUGGUCUGUAACUGACGCUGAGGCGCGAAAGCGUGGGGGAGCAAACAGG